UGACUCUUUACACCUGACCAGUGCUCUUACGUGGCUUGCACAUUCAGAUGCACAUGAAAACCACUGCAGCUGCAGAGCUAACUGUGUAAGUGACUGCAAAGAUCUACAUAUUAAUGUA